GCGAGCGAAAAGAAAACAGUUCAGCACUUAGUCACUUUGUUUAAUUAACAAAUGUGAGAUGCAGUGUAUGGAAUAUCGAUAAUCUAAUAUGAAAAAUUCAAUGAUUUAAGUCCUUCUUAAAUGAGGCCAUUUACCCAAAGAGGGUGCCAGGCCCGUAUAACAUGAAUGAUUAUUAGAAGAUAUUUCCAAAGAGUCGUGUUGCUUGAUAGUGCAGCACUAAGAGGGUGGUAAACUCCAUCUAAAACUAAAUAUUACCAUGAGACCGAUAGUAAACAAGUACCGUGAGGGAAAGUUGAAAAGAACUCUGAAUAGAGAGUUAAAUAGUACGUGAAACUGUUUAGAGGUUAAGCCCGAUGAACCUGAAUAUCCAUUAUGAGAGAUUCAUCAUUUUUGGCUAUUUUUAAUAUUUAUUCAAAUAUUAAUAUAGUUAAAAUGUGCAUUUCUUUCAUAUAAGGACAUUGUAAUCUAUUAAUACAAGAAAUUUAUCAUAAGAUCAAUGAGCAAUAAGUUUAUUCAAUUGAAAUUGUUUUAUUACAAUUUUCAUAUUGAAUUUCAAAUGCUUUUGAUUUGAUAAAGUAUUGAUAGAUUUUAUUAAUAUGGUGUUAAAAUUAUUAAAUCUUUAAUAAUUUUACAAUGAGUUUUUCUUCCGUUGUUAAAAUGGAGAAAAAUUUCUAUUGUAUACACUAAUAUUAUGAUUAACAAUGCGAUAGAUUCAGGAUACCUUCGGGACCCGUCUUGAAACACGGACCAAGGAGUCUAACAUAUGUGCAAGUAAUUGGCCAAAUUACAAUAAAAUGAAAGUCCAUAGGCGAAAUUAACUUGACUAAUAUAUAUAUAUUAUAUUAAUAUAGAUUUUAAUCUAUUUAAUAUUGAUAUAUAUAUAAUGGGAUUAAUUUUUAGAUUUGAUAGAAAAAAAUUUUAUUUUUGAUAUCAGUCUAUUAAUUCAAUCCCAGGGCGUUCUAUUAAAGUUUAAUGUAUAAUAUAAUUUUAUAAUGAAAUUAUUUAUACCUCUAAACUAGAACGUACCUUGAGCAUAUAUUAUGUGACCCGAAAGAUGGUGAACUAUACUUGAUCAGGUUGAAGUCAGGGGAAACCCUGAUGGAAGACCGAAACAGUUCUGACGUGCAAAUCGAUUGUCAGAAUUAAGUAUAGGGGUGAAAGGCCAAUCGAAC
rnacentral:rRNA from 1 species